ACUCCUACGGGAGGCAGCAGUGGGGAAUUUUGGACAAUGGGCGAAAGCCUGAUCCAGCCAUGCCGCGUGAGUGAAGAAGGCCUUCGGGUUGUAAAGCUCUUUUAGUUGGAAAGAAAGAAUUAUAGUUAAUAGCUAUAAUUUAUGACGGUACCAAUAGAAAAAGCACCGGCUAACUACGUGCCAGCAGCCGCGGUAAU
rnacentral:rRNA from 1 species